AUAAAUGGGAAGUACAAUUGUUUAACGGUAGUAUGUUUUACUGAUUUGUUUCAGUGAUUUUAUUUCCUUUCCUCCUGAUGGUGUCUAAAAGAGUGUGACAUCUCUGCAUUUACACCUAAUUCAGACUCUUCUGACGGCACCCAUUCACUGCAGAGGAUCCAAAGGUGAGCAAGUGAUGUAAUGCUAUUUCUCCAAAUCUAAUGAACUCAUCUACAUCUUGAAUGGCCUGAGGGGUUUUUACAUUGUGAAUUCCGAGGCUGGCUGGGGGAUUGAACUUUUUCUGGGAUCUUGACCGUACCAGAAGAAGAGGAAUUAUCAGAUAACAACAAGCUUGCUGAUGACUUU
ensembl:lncRNA